GCCUACGGGGCGCAGCAGUAGGGAAUCUUCCACAAUGGGCGAAAGCCUGAUGGAGCAACGCCGCGUGGGUGAAGAAGGUCUUCGGAUCGUAAAACCCUGUUGUUAGAGAAGAAAGUGCGUGAGAGUAACUGUUCACGUUUCGACGGUAUCUAACCAGAAAGCCACGGCUAACUACGUGCCAGCAGCCGCGGUAAUACGUAGGUGGCAAGCGUUAUCCGGAUUUAUUGGGCGUAAAGGGACCGCAGGCGGUCUUUUAAGUCUGAUGUGUAAGCCUUCGGCUUAACCGGAGUAGUGCAUUGGAAACU
rnacentral:rRNA from 1 species